UUCAGCGGGAUGGAGUCUCGGGGUCCCUCCAGGCCAAGCCAGGGUGACGGCCAUGGCCCAUCGGUGUCCCUCCGCUCUGCUCCCCUCAGAGAGAAUAGGCUCCAGCUGGUGAGCUGCCUAGCCCGCUUCCGAGCCUUCUUCACGGCGCCAGUGGUGAUCUUCCACCUGAACAUCCUGUCCUACUUCACCUUCCUCUGGCUCUUCGCCUACGUGCUCAUGGUCGACUUCCAGCCCCUGCCAUCCUGGCGGGAGCUCGUCAUCUACUUCUGGCUCUUCUCCCUGGUGUGCGAGGAGACGCGGCAGAACUGAAAGAAGAUAGAUCCCCAGAGAGUAUACUGUAGCUGCACAAAGAAUCUGAAACUGAGAACAGCGCUCCAUUCACCACAGGUUCCUGAUUAUUGCAGUGGAUCCUGACUUGAAGAACACAAGUCUUCAAUCAAGUGAUGGAAGACAGAAGAGUGAUAUGUUGAGCAGAAAGGAUGGAAGAGUUUCUACAGGCAACAUGAAUGGACAUGGAAGGACUUUGGAACUUUGAAAUUUUGGCCAUGAAUAAGUGUAAGACUGUGUCAUACAUGUAAACACCACAUGUAUGCAUGUACAUCCUACAUAGCAAAAUAAGAUAUCCAUGGAAUGGGUAAUUACAUGACAUGCAUGAUAACAAAGACACACUGAUGAGAAAUUUUUGUGGGAAAUUCAAACAGAAAGUAAUAUCCUUUUCUGCAUGAGUUUGCACAGAAAUUUAGAAUGAUGUAUAUAUUUAAAUCUGUACUAAACUUACUAAUUGACUAACGAGCUAACUUUUUAGAGUAAGUUUAUUAAUAGUCUAACUACUAACAUUAGUAAUAGCCUAUUGAAUUUGUUUAAGGCUUAAGAAAGUAGAGACAUAGAAGUUCUGAAGCAUGGAAGUUAUAUUGUAUUAUGAUUGUAGGUUAGCAUUUAUUAGUGAUAGGAAAUUUUACUUAGUGAAUUUAUAGACAUUAGGAAUUAGAAUAUUUGCAUAUUCUUAAUGAUAGGGGAAUUGUUGAGAUGAUUUGGAAAUUGUUAUUUGCUUUGUUAUGUGAAACUAUGUUCAUGUAACCAUUUUCCUAUAACCCAUUCUUAGCUUAGCAUUUCGAUAGAACAGCUAAGAUGAGUUUAGCAUUUUGUAAUGGGGGGGGUAGAGUAUAUUUCAGAUAGCAAAGAGUUAAGAUAGAUAAAAUUAUUAAGGUAAGUAUCAUUGAAAAAUGAAAGUUACAUUUUUUGCUAAUAAAAGGGGGGCUUUGCGGUAGAGACAUGGAGAGAGAGAGAGAGAGGACUUGUAAGCCAAGAUGCAAGAAACAAGCUGGGGACCUAACCUGCCUGUCAAUCAAGAGGAAGGUUCCAAAUGGAAUGUUCCCAGGAGUGGCAGUUGGGGGUUUCUGGCCACAGAGAGGAGAAGGAGAAACUUGGCUUUAACUUUGGCUCUCUGACUCAGGCAGUUAAGCUGGCCAGGAGAAACUAUGACAGAGAGAGGAGAAGAAGGAGAAAUUGGCUUUUGGAGUUGGUUGUCUCUUUGAGAGUUGAGCUGGACAGGAGAAACUGGGAGACUUUGGACUUUGUUUUCUGUCUGGGGUUAAUUAAGCUGAGAGACCUUGCUGACUUUGUGAAGUAAAAGAAGAUUUUAAACAGCUGUUGUCCUUCAUCUCUCUGUCUUAGAGUCACAGUUUGUGAAUGGACUACUCUCUCAAACCCUCAAAUUCUCCCUUCAUUAUAGAUGAGGGAAAUCCUCAUCCCUCUUACCUCAGUUUCCUAUCCUGUUAUCCCAAUAAACCCCUUGACUUGAAAAAGGAAAAGA